UCCACCCCGAUCUCGCUCCAGAACCCAUAGUACCAAACUUCCCCUGGCCCUACCCCUCCCGAUUUGGUCGCCGCCACAAUCGUCGGCACUAAAUCUGGCGUCGCCCGUCCCCCUUCUCUUCCAAUCUCCUGGUCUGCAUGGUAGACCGACCACCAGAUCCCUCACCAGAAAUUGUCGCUUGCGACAGAUACGGGCGACGGUGUUCGACAUAGCCGCCCGGAGCUACUUCACCCUCGACAUCGAGGAGGGCGUGGGCCUCCCACAGCCGCCGAGCACAAGGCGCUACUGCCAUGGUGCCUCCUCGCUCGCCCUCAGUGUGGCGGCGGUGUCUCAGGAAUCCUGCCCUGGUGGGGGAUCCGAGGGCGGAAUCCGACAAGCACAAGGCGCUACUGCCAUGGCGUCUGAAGGGAGGCAUGGCAGGAAAUCUGAGGACUGAGGGAGGAAGUCUACAGGAAAUCCGCUAGCGGCAUAUGUGGCCUCCGCUUGCUGUUGUUGCUGUUGCAGCGACGGUAGCGUGUCCGACUACCACCUGAUUGGAUCGAACGACAGAUGGUGCGAGGCAGCCGGAUGUGAGUCCCACUCCCACCCCGAGGGCUCGACCUUCUCGAUCCCGGCUGCGUUGGGUGUCGAACUCGAAAGUGACAGGUUAACUCACAGCGUCGGACUGCCCCCACACGAGUGCCAUCAGGUCGACUUCUCUGGUCGCUCGUCUCGGCAUCUCCAAUCUGACAAGUCUACAAGCUCAAGCCAUUGAGAGAUGAUUCAAGUCACGCCCUGAUGUUCAGGUUUCCAUUCAUUCCAGACUGUUGAUAUUUAUGAUUCACCUUUGGUAUGUACAUCUCUGAAUGUACACAACACUGGCAUUCACAUAUCUGAAGGAAGUGGGAUUUGAGGAAGUGUGGGAAGAGCAAUAAGAUACCUUUCUAAUCCCUUGAGCUGGACAUUGUUCAUGCAUAUACUUUUCAGUAUGCUGGCUUCCAAGGAUGAGUAGGUGGAGCCAUGGCCUUCACCUAGAAAAGACAUCGUCAUAAGAAAGUUAAGCUCUUGGAUUUCCUCAGGGGUUGCUGCCCAAUCGCCAAAAGCAGAGCUUAAUUGGUUUUCAGCGAUGCAAAGGUUGGCUUGGCUUUGCAAGAGUCCAGAGAAAAUUUUGUAACUUAACUAUACUAUGUGAGUGAUGUAUCAGUUGCAGAGUUUGGAAUUUACCUGACGAUGAAUACGAGUUGCACCGUUGCAGUACACUGGCAGUGUGGUGUAUGCCAUUGCCAAGGAGCACACAGAGGAAGAAGCUCUUGCACCAUGCUACAUCACGGUCCAGUUAACUCAAGACCUCUCGGUCAACAAUAUUCACGAAAGGUAGUCAACAAUAUUCACCCCGCUACAGUGAACCUCUCGGUCGACCCCAUGUUUAUGUUCUAGUGCCAUAGAUGCUCGGUCACGCUACCAAAAAAGGUAGCGAAAAAAUUAUGUUUUCUUGCAUGGAAAACAUGCAUUGUGAUAUGCUCCUAGCACUAGAAAACACUACACAAAGUCACCUCAAAGCAUACAGCAUGUGUAGUUUCGUAUCUACUACUACCUCUGUUUUCAAAUAUAUAUAAGACAUUUCUACAUUUAGAAACAGAGGGUGUACUUUGUCUCUAUCCCUAUUACAG